rnacentral:rRNA from 1 species
UCCUACGGGAGGCAGCAGUGGGGAAUAUUGCACAAUGGGCGCAAGCCUGAUGCAGCAACGCCGCGUGAGGGACGAAGGCCUUCGGGUUGUAAACCUCUUUUAGUAGGGAAGAAGCAACUGGGUUUUCCUGGGAGUGACGGUACUUGCAGAAAAAGCACCGGCUAACUACGUGCCAGCAGCCGCGGUAAUACGUAGGGUGCAAGCGUUGUCCGGAAUUAUUGGGCGUAAAGAGCUCGUAGGGGGUUUGUCGCGUCUGCUGUGAAAACCCGAGGCUCAACCUCGGGCCUGCAGUGGGUACGGGCAGACUAGAGCGCGGUAGGGGAGAUUGGAAUUCCUGGUGUAGCGGUGGAAUGCGCAGAUAUCAGGAGGAACACCAAUGGCGAAGGCAGAUCUCUGGGCCGUAACUGACGCUGAGGAGCGAAAGCAUGGGGAGCGAACAGGAUUAGAUACCCUGGUAGUCCAUGCCGUAAACGUUGGGAACUAGAUGUGGGGACCAUUCCACGGUCUCCGUGUCGCAGCUAACGCAUUAAGUUCCCCGCCUGGGGAGUACGGCCGCAAGGCUAAAACUCAAAGGAAUUGACGGGGGCCCGCACAAGCGGCGGAGCAUGCGGAUUAAUUCGAUGCAACGCGAAGAACCUUACCAAGGCUUGACAUAUACCGGAAACGGCUGGAAACAGUCGCCCCGCAAGGUCGGUAUACAGGUGGUGCAUGGUUGUCGUCAGCUCGUGUCGUGAGAUGUUGGGUUAAGUCCCGCAACGAGCGCAACCCUCGUCCUAUGUUGCCAGCACGUAAUGGUGGGAACUCAUGGGAUACUGCCGGGGUCAACUCGGAGGAAGGUGGGGAUGACGUCAAAUCAUCAUGCCCCUUAUGUCUUGGGCUUCACGCAUGCUACAAUGGCCGGUACAAAGGGCUGCGAUACCGCAAGGUGGAGCGAAUCCCAAAAAGCCGGUCUCAGUUCGGAUUGAGGUCUGCAACUCGACCUCAUGAAGUCGGAGUCGCUAGUAAUCGCAGAUCAGCAACGCUGCGAUGAAUACGUUCCCGGGCCUUGUACACACCGCC